CUGACGAGCGGCGGACGGGUGAGUAUGUAUGGGGAUCUGCCUGAUGGAGGGGGAUAACUACUGGAAACGGUAGCUAAUACCGCAUAAUGUCUUCGGACCAAAGCGGGGGACCUUCGGGCCUCGCGCCAUCAGAUGAACCCAUAUGGGAUUAGCUUGUAGGUGAGGUAACGGCUCACCCAGGCGACGAUCCCUAGCUGGUCUGAGAGGAUGAUCAGCCACACUGGGACUGAGACACGGCCAGACUCCUACGGGAGGCAGCAGUGGGGAAUAUUGCACAAUGGGCGCAAGCCUGAUGCAGCCAUGCCGCGUGUAUGAAGAAGGCCUUCGGGUUGUAAGUACUUUCAGUCGGGAGGAAGGUGGUAAGGUUAAUAACCUUAUCAUUGACGUUACCGACAGAAGAAGCACCGGCUAACUCCGUGCCAGCAGCCGGAUAAUACCGGGGGGUGCAAGCGUUAAUCGGAAUUACUGGGCGUAAAGCGCACGCAGGGCCGGUUGAUUGGAGUCAGAUGUGAAAUUCCCCGGGCUUAAACCCGGGGGAAUUGGGCUCCNUGGAUUACCUGGGGGUCACAAGGUUAAAAAGGUUCCUUAGGUGAAAAAAAG
rnacentral:rRNA from 1 species